UACGGGAGGCAGCAGUAGGGAAUCUUCCGCAAUGGGCGAAAGCCUGACGGAGCGACGCCGCGUGAGCGAAGAAGGCCUUCGGGUCGUAAAGCUCUGUUGUGAGGGACGAAGGAGCGCCGUUCGAAGAGGGCGGCGCGGUGACGGUACCUCACGAGGAAGCCCCGGCUAACUACGUGCCAGCAGCCGCGGUAAUACGUAGGGGGCGAGCGUUGUCCGGAAUUAUUGGGCGUAAAGCGCGCGCAGGCGGUUCCUUAAGUCUGAUGUGAAAGCCCACGGCUCAACCGUGGAGGGUCAUUGGAAACUGGGGGACUUGAGUGCAGGAGAGGAGAGCGGAAUUCCACGUGUAGCGGUGAAAUGCGUAGAGAUGUGGAGGAACACCAGUGGCGAAGGCGGCUCUCUGGCCUGCAACUGACGCUGAGGCGCGAAAGCGUGGGGAGCAACAGGAUUAGAUACCCUGGUAGUCCACGCCGUAAACGAUGAGUGCUAAGUGUUAGAGGGGUCACACCCUUUAGUGCUGCAGCUAACGCGAUAAGCACUCCGCCUGGGGAGUACGGCCGCAAGGCUGAAACUCAAGGAAUUGACGGGGCCCGCACAAGCGGUGGAGCAUGUGGUUAAUUCGAAGCAACGCGAAGAACCUUACCAGGUCUUGACAUCCCCUGACAACC
rnacentral:rRNA from 1 species